AUUGAACGCUGGCGGCAGGCUUAACACAUGCAAGUCGAGCGGAGAGAGGUAGCUUGCUACUGAUCUUAGCGGCGGACGGGUGAGUAAUGCUUAGGAAUCUGCCUAUUAGUGGGGGACAACAUUUCGAAAGGAAUGCUAAUACCGCAUACGUCCUACGGGAGAAAGCAGGGGAUCUUCGGACCUUGCGCUAAUAGAUGAGCCUAAGUCGGAUUAGCUAGUUGGUGGGGUAAAGGCCUACCAAGGCGACGAUCUGUAGCGGGUCUGAGAGGAUGAUCCGCCACACUGGGACUGAGACACGGCCCAGACUCCUGCGGGAGGCAGCAGUGGGGAAUAUUGGACAAUGGGCGGAGGCCUGAUCCAGCCAUGCCGCGUGUGUGAAGAAGGCCUUAUGGUUGUAAAGCACUUUAAGCGAGGAGGAGGCUACUUUAGUUAAUACCUAGAGAUAGUGGACGUUACUCGCAGAAUAAGCACCGGCUAACUCUGUGCCAGCCGCCGCCGUAA
rnacentral:rRNA from 1 species